AUGGUUGAGCAUGGGAUUUUCCCUUCGACCACGGUGACAUGUGAUGACUUGAGUGACUUUAGCCACCAUAUUGAGAGUGAGUGUGAUUUCACCACUAGCCCCAUAUAUGAUGUGUUUCCACUAUUCCCACAUGAGGAGAGCCACAACCCCCACCUCUUGAGUGAGAUGAGUGACUCCACCGUAUGUGAGUUUGAGUGCACCUAUUUUGAGGGAGUGAGUGAACCACCACAUAGAGAUAGUGAGAUAGUUGAUAGGUCAUGUGAGGCCACUUUUAACACUAACGACUUGACCUCUACCUCUAUUGUGUCUUCUCAUUUGGUGCUAGGUCCCUUAUAUGAUGAUGCGCCACUUCUCGACGACUUCGUCCUACCUUUGGACAAGACGAUGGCCAUGGUGGAAUAUGAUGCACCCCCACAUGGUUCCAUCACAAUGAUGAUCUUGACCACCAUUUGGUCUUUCCCACCUCACCUACACCACUUGAGUGGAAUGAAAAAGGUAACAUAG
rnacentral:rRNA from 1 species